rnacentral:rRNA from 1 species
UACAGAGGUGGCAAGCGUUGUUCGGAAUUACUGGGCGUAAAGGGCGCGUAGGCGGCCAGCACAAGUCAGUUGUGAAAUCUCCGAGCUUAACUCGGAAAGGUCAACUGAUACUGUGCGGCUAGAGUGCGGAAGGGGCAACUGGAAUUCUUGGUGUAGCGGUGAAAUGCGUAGAUAUCAAGAGGAACACCUGCGGCGAAGGCGGGUUGCUGGGCCGACACUGACGCUGAGGCGCGAAAGCCAGGGGAGCGAACGGG